rnacentral:rRNA from 1 species
UGGGGAAUAUUGGACAAUGGGCGCAAGCCUGAUCCAGCCAUGCCGCGUGUGUGAAGAAGGCCUUUUGGUUGUAAAGCACUUUAAGCGAGGAGGAGGCUACUUGGAUUAAUACUCUAGGAUAGUGGACGUUACUCGCAGAAUAAGCACCGGCUAACUCUGUGCCAGCAGCCGCGGUAAUACAUAGGGUGCGAGCGUUAAUCGGAUUUACUGGGCGUAAAGCGUGCGUAGGCGGCUUCUUAAGUCGGAUGUGAAAUCCCUGAGCUUAACUUAGGAAUUGCAUUCGAUACUGGGAAGCUAGAGUAUGGGAGAGGAUGGUAGAAUUCCAGGUGUAGCGGUGAAAUGCGUAGAGAUCUGGAGGAAUACCGAUGGCGAAGGCAGCCAUCUGGCCUAAUACUGACGCUGAGGUACGAAAGCAUGGGGAGCAAACAGG